ensembl:lncRNA novel transcript
GCACGCCGCUCGUUUGCAUUUCUAUGGAGGGCGCACAAUAGCAGAGGUCUGGCGUGUGGCGGUUUGCUGUAGGGACAAUCGAGGCUUUCUCUUCAUAGCAACACUGUCCACCUGCCGCCGGGUGGGGUGGGCAGGACCCCGCCGCGCGUGGGGGUCGCCGGGCUGCCUGGCGCGUGGGGUCGAGGCUGAGUGCCACUCCGUGGUCCCUGAGUGCACGCCCCCAGUACUGGCCCUGCUACAAGUAAUUCCCUUCCAUCCGUUCCUCGCACGGGUGCCGAACAGCCGCGCGAGUUGGGAAGGACGGAGAGCUGCUGUGCAGUCUUCGCGGCUGGACGCCCUGUGGCCGGGACCCCGCGGCUGCAGCCCCUGGAGCUUAGACGGAGUCUCGCUCGGUUGCCCAGGCUGGAGUGCGGUGGCACAAUCUCGGCUCACUGCAACCUCCGCCUCCCGGGUUCAAGCGAUCCUUCUGCUUCAGCCUCCCGAGUAGCUGGGACUACAGGGUGAAGCAUGAAUCUGCACAUGGGGAGGCUUCAGAGGACAACUGAGACAAGAAGCAGGAAGCUGAGAAAGGAGGACACCUCCCACACACACAUCUAGCAAAAGCUGGACAUUUCUGGUCAGUCAUCCUUAUGCAAAGACUUUCUGGAAGGAGCAGUUAUUCUUGGGUGAGCACUUAUGUAGCAUGAAAGAGGUUAACAUUAGCCCAGGGAAAUCCUUCAAAGUAAUUGAGGGGGAAGGAUACAUUAUUUAUGCAUUUGUUCCCUUCUCUAUCGACAGUAAGAAAUGAUUCAUGGCACCUGUCACAGUCCUAGGUAGUGACAGACACCAGCCUGCACUGUAGCUGAAAACCCCUGAGAAGCCACAGAUGUGCAGUCUUCCCAGCUUGACUACAUGCCCAAGUCUUCUGAACCUUAGUUUCCCAACCUAGGAAAUAAAAAUUGUGCCCUUUACCCCUCAUGAACCUUAUUGGGGUCUUAUAAGAUUGCUCCUGGUUGCCAUUUGGCCCACAGAUGGGUUUAGUUUGGUGGACAGUGUCCCGAAAGACUUACAAAUUCAGAUCUGACUUGUUCAUUUGUGUAGGGGAGAGUUGGUGGCACACAUCCUCUCUGUCACUGUAAGUAUGUUCCAAAUGUCACAUUAGGUCCACUGGCACGUGUAAGCCCUGUCUGGCAUUUGCCUGGUCCCUGCAGGCAUUUGGGUUGGCAGUAAACUUUCUUUUCUAACAGAUUUCUGGAAAUGUUUACAUGUAGCAUAUAAUAGAAUAAUAGAACCACAGAACUUCCACAGUAAAGCCUUCCUUCUUUUAUGUUCCAAAAGCUAAAAUGUACUAACAACCUCCAAAAGGCACUAUGACAUUGGAGUUUAAACUUUGUGGAGCAGGACUCAAAGCUGGACUUAGCUGCUUGCUAACUUUGACCUUGAGUGAAGAGUUAGCAGAUGAUUUAAAGUGUAAAGUAGAAAGAAUUCAUGCUGGUUAGCCCAUUAAAUACCCGUUAAUUAAGCUCUCCAAAAACGCCAUUCAAAAAUGUAUAUGAUAAUCAAAUAUUUAUUGCAAUGUUUCUUAAAAUAGUGAAAAAUUAGAAAACAUUAUAGGGGGCUAGUGUUAAAUCAUGGUGUAACCAGAAAUGAAACAUUAUGCAACCAUAAAAAGGAGUUCUGAAGAGUAGUUCCCGGCAUGAUAUAAUGUGAAAAAAAGCAAAAUACGAAAUUGUGCAAUUCUAAUUUUGCAAAAACUUUCAGCGUACACGACUAUCACUGUAUAAAGUCACAAAGUAGGAAUGGUGAUUGUAUCUUGGAGUGAUGAGAUUAUAAGUGAUUUUUAAUUUUCUUCACUAUGCUUUACUGCAAUUAAACAUUUACAAUUCAAUUUUAUUUAACAAAAAUAUAUAAAACUUCUCAAAUGGAGUAACUUCAGUACCAGACAUCCUCAACCUGACUGCUCUGGAGGUUAUUGUGCAGAGCAAUCUUUGACCAUAUGGUCACAGAUCCAGAAGCCAGACGUCUGUGGGGCUUUGCUCCUGAGACUGUGACCUUUGAUUCCUGCACUCCUCCUCUUGCCAUCUGACGCCGGUCUGCGCCUGUGACUGAGUGAAAAUCGUCAUAACUGUACUCGGAGGUUAACUCUGGCAUGACUGGGAUGGAAUCCCAGGCAACAUGCUGGAGGCAGGAAAGAAGGCCAGCCGGCAAGUCAGAACCAAACACCCUGGACGGCACCUUUCCUUACAAAUGCGGUUCACAGGACCCUUGGGGAUCCUCUGCGCACACUGAGGCAAGCAGCAAUGGAAGAAAUUAUCUUCCACUCCCUUCUUGUUGAAAAUGUCUGUUUUCCAGAAAUGAAUUACAGUAAUAGAUUAUGAAAAUUGUUUCCAUUGCCUACAUAACACAGCAGGGAAUUCUAAAAUUUCAAAACAUGUAAUAUACUCAACCUGUGCUUGAGACUGUAGGGUAUU